AGGAUUCUCAAGCACAAACUUCUGCCCACUUUCUGGAUCGUAAAAUGGUGUCUUCUCCUCACUUACAAGCUGACUUGGCAUUACAGACAUCUUUUGCAGAUACAAGGAAGAAGACAGAUACAUCAGAUUCUCAAGCACAGACUUCAGCCCACUAUCUGGAUCGUAAAAUGGUGUCUUCUCCUCAAUUACAAGCUGACUUGGCAUUACAGACAUCUUUGACAGAUGCAAGGAAGAAGACAGAUACAUCAGAUUCUCAAGCACAGACUUCAGCACACUUUUUGGAUCGUAAAAUAGAGUCUUCUCGAUUACAAGCUGACUUGGAAUUGCAGACAUCUUUGACAGAUGGAAGGAAGAAGACAGAUACAUCCGAUUCUCAAGCACAGACUUCUGACCAUAUUCUAGAUCAUAAAAUGGUGUCUUCUCCUCGCUUACAAGCUGACUUGGAAUUACAGACAUCUUUGGCAGAUGUAAGGAAGAGGACAGAUACAUCAGAUUCUCAAGCACAGACUUCAGCACACUUUCUGGAUCGUAAAAUGGAGUCUUCUCCUCGAUUACAAGCUGACUUGGCAUUGCAGACAUCUUUGACAGAUGGAAGGAAGAAGACAGAUACAUCAGAUUCUCAAGCACAGACUACAGCUCACUUUCUGGAUGAUAAAAUGGUGUCUACUUGCGUACAAGCUGACUUGGAAUUGCAGACAUAUUUGGCAGAUGCAAGGAAGAAGACACAUACAUCAGAUUCUCAAGCACAGACUUCAGCCCACUUUCUGGAUCAUAAAAUGGAGUCUUCUCCUCCAUUACAAACCAACUCGGAAAUGCAGACAUCAUUCACUGAUUUAAGAAAGAAGAAACAAAUAAGAACUUCUGUGCAGACAUCUUUCAUGGAUGUUAAGGAGAAGAAACAAACAAGAGAUUAUCAAGCACAGACGCCCUUUCAGUCUUUCAAGCCUAAAAUGGGGUCACCUCCAUUUGCAACCAACAUGGAAAUACAGACAUCUUUCCCAGAUGUGAGAAAGAUUAAAGAAAUAAUGGAUUCUCAAACACAGUCUUCCUCGCUUGAGUUACUAGAAUCAAAAAAAGAGCCUCCGUUUAUGUCACAAAUGGAUGCUCAGGUGCGGACCUCCGAAACUGAAAUUCCUAUUGAAAAUUCAUGGAGACCAUCACACAGGCAAGCUGAUUUUCAGCAGACUUCAUUGGAUUUAGAUGAGGAGGAAAAGUUCGAGUCUCCUCCUAUCUUCCAAAUGCACAAACAGGCCCAAACCUCCCUUCUUGAUAUAUGGAAAGCAAAAGAACUGUGUAAUGCACAGGUGCAAACUUCUUGGAUAAAUUUGCCAGAAUCCACGGUGCCUCCUCUUCCACCACCACCGUAUGAAAGCCUGGGUUAUUUCCCCAUGUCUCCUGCAUUCCCAGUUGAUUCCCAUGUACAAACUUCUUCUCCUGACAUGUGGAAGCCAAAAGAACUAGCUGAUGCUGAAAUGCAAACAUCCGUGCCCGAUUUGCUGCAGGAUAAAAUCGGAGUGCAACCACCUAUACUUGGUUUAGCCAAUGCAACAGCUGAAUUUCUUCUUCAUGAUCAAGGUUGCGCUAUACAGCGAACCUUGCCUCAUAUGCCAGAGCAAAUGACUACUCAAGAAAAAAGCUCUAAAAUUGAAUAUCCAAAGUCUCCUUCACAAUUAAAAUCCAAAAUCCAGAUCUCCCAGCUUGAUACACAGGCAUCUGAAGAACUGUCUGAUACCCAAAUGCUAUCUUCCCUGUCCAGUUUGCCAAGUUCGUUAUAUCAGACUUUCUCCUCAGGCAUGGCUGUGUCUACUAUCCCCUCAGGCACGGGCAUGUCACCUGACCCCUCUGGUAUGCCUUUGUCUCCCAUCCCUUCACAUAUGCCCAUAUCUCCCAUCCCCUCACAUGCAGCUGUAUCUCCUGUACCAUCAUGCAGAGCUGUGUCUCCCAUCCCUUCAUGUAUGGCUGUUUCUCCAAUUCCUUCACUUCCAGCUGCAUCACCUGUUCCACCAGACAUAACUUUAUCUCCAGUCUUAUCACGUACUGCCAGUCCAGUGCGACCACCCACACCUGCGUCUCCACCCUUCAAAGUGGAACCUGUCCUCAUGGAGUAUAAUGCACCAAUAGAAAAAUCGCUACUUGAACUAUGGACCACAAGAGAGGAAACAGAGAUACAAAUGCAAUCUAUAAAGCAUGGCUGUUCUUUUGAAGAUAAGUUCACUUUAUUCAAGAAGCUAGAAGAGACUACCAUAAAAAUUGCAGAUAUUAAGAUAUCUGGAGGAAAGAAGCUGGAUAAAAUUUCAAAAGUGAAGUCAAAAACUCCUGCAUUUACGGAAGCACAGGUUCAAACCUCUUAUGUUGAGAUACCUCGGGGAAAGAAAUGGCGUUCAUCUCGCUUAUGUACAGAAGCCCAGGUUCAAACAUCAUUUCAAGACCUUCAUGUGAAAAACAAGACCCCAGCCUUGCAUGAUCCUUGCAUGACCAAAAGAGUGCCAAAGGGACCAAGGCGAGCAGCUCCAGUAUCUGUGCACUUGCAUGUAAAGAUGUCUCCAAAGCGGCGAAAUAGCAGUGAAAGAAAGUAGUGAAUAAUACUUGAAUUUAAAGAAAUAAAAGAUUACAAAAUAC
rnacentral:lncRNA from 11 species